GGGUUUGUGAGGGCAAUCUGGAUGCAACAUCUGUCAUCCCACUGAUUAACAGAGUUGAGUUGGCUGAUCUGGCUGGCUAGGGAGGUGCCUCAUUCCUCCCUCACCAUUCCAGGUAGAUCCUUCCCACAGCACACAGGGUGGAAGAAAAAAAGAACCCUUCUAGACAGGAGUGUACUUUUCUUCAGGAUUUGAAUACAUGUUUUACUUUUCCAGUCUGUGGGUGACUGUUG
rnacentral:snRNA from 1 species